CCAACUAAAUGUUUUCCUUUAUAAGAGUUGCUGGUGGUCAUGGUCCUGGUGUCUCUUCACAGCAACAGGCACCCUAAGACAACGGCCAAAAGCCACUUGGGGAAGAAAGGGAUUUCAUGAAGGGAAGCCGUUGCAGAAGCCCGAGGCAGGAGUCUAGAGGCAGAAACUGACACAGAGACCAUGGAGGAAUGGUCUCACUCACUCAACUUGCUAUCCUCCCAUCAACCAUUAAUAAAGAAAAUGCCCCAUAGACUUGCCUACAGGCAAUCUGGAUGGAGGUAAUUUCUCAACUGAGGAUCCUUUCCCAGAUAACUCUACUUACUCAAGGCGACCAAAAGCCACCCAGGACACAUAGCUUCACAGCGCUCUACUCAGGCUGCAAACAGAUUCCAGCUUCCCCGUCUUUGUUUUGUUUUGGAUUUUUUUCGAGACAGGAUUUUGCUAUAUAAGGUCUUUCUGCCUUUGCUUCCCAGUGCUGGGGAUUACACGGGUUCAUCACUACAUCUGGCCCAGCUCCCCCAUGCUGCACUCUUCAGGCAAUUUUAAGGUCCCAGCAAAUAUGGGAUGAAGCUGACGUUGGGGACUCCGUGUACUAAAGCCCCAUACAUAUAUGAAUAAGUAAACUCUCACACACUGUACGCCCCACCCUGGAGUGGCACAUUUGUUAGCACAGGUGAGCCUACAGCAAUUAUAAGUAACGCUGCUAUUAAUAUCUAUGGGCAGGUUUUUUUGGGGGGGAGGGAUAAACUUUGAAUUACUUUAGUUAAUACCAAGGCACUUAUUUGCUGGAUUUUUGUGGUAAGGAUAUGUUUUGUUUCACAAGAAAUGGCCAUACUAUCUUCUAAUAGGAUAUUUUCUUUGUACUCGCUCCAGUAAGGAGUUCCUGUUACUCCACACUCCCAUGGGUUUGGUGUUACCAGUGUUUGGGAUAAUGGCCAUUCUGAAACUAGAGUGACAGAGUGUGAAUUUCUAGUGUUUAAUAAAAGUUUUGUGUGAA